UACAGUGUGAGGCUGCCGUAGUCUCGCGAUACCUGGCUGCCCCGGAUUUCUACCAUCACCCUCCCACCACCUGCAGAGCAGUGGCCGUGAUGGAAGGCGCAUUGGGAGGGCUGUGAGGAGGCCGCUGCUCCUGACUAGCUAGCCCUCAGAGGGGCUUUGGAGGGAAAGUUCCCGGCAGCUGACGAAACCGUUUGUUUCGGGGAUUCUCCCUGUUUCUCCCCAGCUUGGCACUGACUGCCAGCUGAUGUGUACUCCUCUAUGGAAUGGAAACGUGCAUCUGGAUGAGCUGAGGAGCUCCAAGACUGACCUGUGGACUAUCGUGUGCCAAGCUCCUCUGUCCGUGAAAUUCUCCAGGCAGGAAUACUGGAGUAGCAAAUACUUGCCAUGCUCUCAUCCAGGGUAUCUUUUUGACCCAGGGAUCAAUCUGCAUCUCUUACAUCUCCUGCAUUGGCAGGUGGGUUCUUUGCCACUAGUCCCAUCUGGAAGCCAAAUAAUUAUAGAAG
ensembl:lncRNA